rnacentral:rRNA from 1 species
UACGUAGGUGGCGAGCGUUAUCCGGAAUUAUUGGGCGUAAAGAGCGCGCAGGUGGUUGAUUAAGUCUGAUGUGAAAGCCCACGGCUUAACCGUGGAUGGUCAUUGGAAACUGGUCGACUUGAGUGCAGAAGAGGGAAGUGGAAUUCCAUGUGUAGUGGUGAAAUGCGUAGAGAUAUGGAGGAACACCAGUGGCGAAGGCGGCUUCCUGGUCUGUAACUGACACUGAGGCGCGAAAGCGUGGGGAGCAAACAGGAUUAGAUA